AAAUCGAGAUACUAAGAAAGUCCCUACAUAUUAUAAUACUGGUUGUAGAAAAGGCCAAAUACUUCACGCCAGACUCCGGUUGAACUGCAGUGGCUUAAAUGAACACCUUUUCCAGAAAAAUAUUGUUCUUUCAAGCCUGUGUAAAUGUGGGCAAGUUGAGAGCAGCAAACAUUAUUUGCUAGAAUGUCAUAAUUAUAGACUCAUCAGGGCACAAACCAUUUCUACACUACCAAUAUAUAAUGUACAAACAUUAGUAUCAGGUAGUGAACUCAUCAGUGAUGAGGAAAACGAAAAUAUUUUUAAAGUUGUACAAAGAUUUAUUUUAGAAACAGGGAGAUUUGGU
rnacentral:lncRNA from 1 species